rnacentral:sRNA from 1 species
UUGCUAUCUACGAUAUGGAAGAUUCGAACCUGCCGCAGGUUCGGGUCUCACGUAGUGAGACAACGGAGCCGCUUGCGGCGACGGCCCGAAGGGCGAGCAAAGCGAGUCAUCCUGCACGACCCACCA